rnacentral:rRNA from 1 species
UACGUAGGGCGCGAGCGUUGUCCGGAUUUAUUGGGCGUAAAGAGUUCGUAGGCGGUUUGUUGCGUCGACUGUGAAAACCCGGGGCUCAACCUCGGGCUUGCAGUCGAUACGGGCAGGCUGGAGUUCGGUAGGGGAGACUGGAAUUCCUGGUGUAGCGGUGAAAUGCGCAGAUAUCAGGAGGAACACCGGUGGCGAAGGCGGGUCUCUGGGCCGAUAUUGACGCUGAGGAGCGAAAGCGUGGGGAGCGAACAGG